UAAAACUAGCCUUCCAA
rnacentral:tRNA from 1 species